rnacentral:rRNA from 1 species
ACUACGGGUGGCAGCAGUGGGGAAUAUUGGGCAAUGGGCGCAAGCCUGACCCAGCAACGCCGCGUGAAGGAAGAAGGCCCUCGGGUUGUAAACUUCUUUUAUCAGGGACGAAGCAAGUGACGGUACCUGAUGAAUAAGCCACGGCUAACUACGUGCCAGCAGCCGCGGUAAUACGUAGGGGGCAAGCGUUAUCCGGAUUUACUGGGUGUAAAGGGCGUGUUGGGGGGAGAGCAAGUCAGAUGUGAAAUUCCAGGGCUCAACCCUGGAAUUGCAUUUGAAACUGGUUUUCUUGAGUGAUGGAGAGGCAGGCGGAAUUCCGUGUGUAGCGGUGAAAUGCGUAGAUAUACGGAGGAACACCAGUGGCGAAGGCGGCCUGCUAGACAUUAACUGACGCUGAGGCGCGAAAGCGUGGGGAGCAAACAGGAUUAGAUACCCGAGUAGUC